AGAAAAUCUUGUGUGGAUUGAU
rnacentral:miRNA from 1 species